GAUGAACGCUGGCGGCGUGCCUAAUACAUGCAAGUCGAGCGAACAGAUGAGGAGCUUGCUCCUCUGACGUUAGCGGCGGACGGGUGAGUAACACGUGGAUAACCUACCUAUAAGACUGGGAUAACUUCGGGAAACCGGAGCUAAUACCGGAUAAUAUAUUGAACCGCAUGGUUCAAUAGUGAAAGACGGUUUUGCUGUCACUUAUAGAUGGAUCCGCGCCGCAUUAGCUAGUUGGUAAGGUAACGGCUUACCAAGGCAACGAUGCGUAGCCGACCUGAGAGGGUGAUCGCCCACACUGGAACUGAGCCGCGGUCCAGCCUCCUACGGGAGGCACCAGUAGGGAAUCUUCCGCAAUGGGCGAAAGCCUGACGGAGCACCGCCGCGUGAGUGAUGAAGGUCUUCGGAUCUUAAACCUCUGUUAUUAGGGAAGAACAAAUGUGUAAGUAACUAUGCACGUCUUGACGGUACCUAAUCAGAAAGCCACGGCUAACUACGUG
rnacentral:rRNA from 1 species